CCAGCUCUGGAGUCCUCAGUACAGGAAAGACAUGGACCUGUUGGAGUGGGUCCAGAGGAGGGCCACAAAAAUGAUCAAAAGGUUGGAGCACCACUUCUAUGAAGAAAGGUUGAGAGAGCUCCAGGGAGGCCUUAU